rnacentral:lncRNA from 1 species
AGGGAAAGGCGACGGCGGCUGCUCACCCAGCCGAGGAAGAUAGGAGGGAGGAGCAGAAGGGAGGAGGAGGUAGAGGAGGAGGAGGGAGGGGACUCUCACAGGCGGUGGCGGCGGCAGCGGCGAGCGGAGGGGCCCGGCGGAGCUAACGGAUCUGGGGCGCAGGCGGCUGUUGCUGCUGCUGCUGCUGCUGCUGUUCCUGUUGGGGCCAGGGCAGCUACUGCAGCCACGACCACGGCUACGGUUACAGCCGGGAGGUAACAACGGCUGCCUGCACCAGCACCCCUAGCAUCUGAAGAAGGAGGAGGACGCGGCGGCGGCGGCCACGGCGGGGAUGGCACCCAGCCGCUGGUUUCUCCUCCCACCCCAUCCCCCAGGCCUCGGCGCUCCCCCGUCCCUCUCCUGGAACCUAGUUCUCACUUCUCUGGCCUACAAGUAAGUCCGCUAGCGCGUCCUUUAUGUGCCCAAGCUUGCCUUUCGGUUCCUGUUCUGGCUCUUCUCCCGACUCCCCAGCCUGCCUCUCUCCCAGGCUCCGAGCUGAAAAGGAGGGGAGGAAGAGCCCAGGGGAGCCCUUGGCAGCUUUUUGUCCUGGCCCUUUUCCCCACUACGGUCUGGUCUGUGUGGAAGUGGCCUCCCAGAGUAGUUCUUAGUGAGGGGGGGGUUCACUCCUCCGGUGCCCGGACCCUGCUGCAGGGAGCUCAUUCCACCCCCUCCCCCUUCCAGGUGGGAUGGGAGGGUCCCUAGAGGCCGGGGGCCUGGGGGGAACCCCUCAUCUGGAAGCGAUCAGGCCGUGGCACCCGGAGGAGGGCCAGGUGGCUCUGGGGGGAGCCUAGCCUCCUGGGGCUGACUGGCCCACUUCUGGAGGGAUGCUUGCAAAAUGCUUGGAGCUCCGGAGCUGUAGGCGGUGAUCUCUGUUCUGGCAGCCGUUUUAGAGCUGAAGAAGCAGGUUGAGGCCCCCAGAAGUCCCUCCAACCUGGGCUGAAGCACGCCUGAGCCCCAGGUCUGCCGGGUGGACUGCGGGGCAUUUCCUUUCAAGUGCACGUGAUGGGGUUCAGUCCUGAACCCCAGCAGAGGUGGUUUGGACUUUGUUUCGGUCUUCUUUCCUUUUGUUUUGCCGCUCUGAGCCUGCGAAAGUCCUCUAGCCUGUGCCCGCUCUCCCUAGCAGUCAUUCCCGUCCCUCGCCCAGUGUCCCGGGAGGGGCCUGGCCGGCUCUCCGAGGCACUGGGGAGUUGGGCUGCGUCCUGAGCAGACCAGAGGGGCCCCUCUCCCUCCAUGGCAAAAGCUACACUCCUGUAACCCGAGAGUGAAGGGAGUCAACGGUUGGGGACCGGGUGUCACAUGCAUGUUUCCUUUGCAGAGAAACCCUCCUCUGGCCUUAGGUGUGCGAAUGCAUGAGUGGAUGUCUUUUCAGGGGGGGCAGGCUUAGCCUCAGCCCAGUCCCCAAGGCCGCCUGGCUCACUAGUCCCCCAAAGUAAGCACACGCAGACACACAGCCUGUCCCUUUGGCCAGAGACCGAGGGCUUCUCAACAGGAACAGGCAGCCUUCGCCUGAAGCUGCCGAUGCCUUAUUGAUCUUAGCAGUGGGGGACUGACCUCGGGUUCCCUUUUGCUCGGUUUCCAACAAGAGAAAAUUGGGGGCUAAUAAGAUCAGGGGGGCUAAGGCUUGGGGGAGGAUCCAGGCAGAAAGCAGAGAAGCAGAUCCUUUCUCAGAGUUCCUCAUGAUGGCAGAUGAGGAGCCAGUUCU